AGGGAUUGCCUUAGUAACGGCGAGUGAAGCGGCAAUAGCUCAAAUUUGAAAGCUGGCGUCUUCGACGUCCGCGUUGUAAUUUGUAGAGGAUGCUUCGGCGAAGACUCCUGCCUAAGUCCCCUGGAACGGGGCGUCAUAGAGGGUGAGAAUCCCGUAUGUGGCGGGCAGUCUAAGCCAUGUGAAGCUCCUUCGACGAGUCGAGUUGUUUGGGAAUGCAGCUCUAAAUGGGAGGUAAAUUUCUUCUAAAGCUAAAUAUUGGCCAGAGACCGAUAGCGCACAAGUAGAGUGAUCGAAAGAUGAAAAGCACUUUGGAAAGAGAGUUAAAAAGUACGUGAAAUUGUUGAAAGGGAAGCGCUUGCAACCAGACUCGCUCGUAGUUGCUCAGCCGGCCUCUUGGCCGGUGUACUCUUCUACGAUCGGGCCAGCAUCAGUUCGGGCGGCAGGAUAAAGGUGUCGGGAAUGUAGCACCCUUCGGGGUGUGUUAUAGCCCGGCGCGGAAUGCUGCCAGCCUGGACUGAGGAUCUCGCUUCGGCAAGGAUGCUGGCGUAAUGGUUGUAAGCGGCCCGUCUUGAAACACGGACCAAGGAGUCUAACAUCUAUGCGAGUGUUUGGGUGUCAAACCCAUGCGCGUAAUGAAAGUGAACGGAGGUGGGAACCCCUCACGGGGUGCACCAUCGACCGAUCCUGAUGUCUUCGGAUGGAUUUGAGUAAGAGCAUAGCUGUUGGGACCCGAAAGAUGGUGAACUAUGCCUGAAUAGGGUGAAGCCAGAGGAAACUCUGGUGGAGGCUCGCAGCGGUUCUGACGUGCAAAUCGAUCGUCAAAUUUGGGUAUAGGGGCGAAAGACUAAUCGAA
rnacentral:rRNA from 1 species